rnacentral:rRNA from 1 species
GGUGGAGCGAUUUGUCUGGUUUAUUCCGAUAACGAACGAGACUCUAGCCUACUAAAUAGACAACACUUUCUUAGAGUGUUGCGCUUCUUAGAGGGACAAGCGACGCCUAGUCGCACGAGAUUGAGCAAUAACAGGUCUGUGAUGCCCUUAGAUGUUCGGGGCUGCACGCGCGCUACACUGAAGGCAUCAACAUGUAUAUCAACCUACUUCGGAAGAAGCGGGUAACCCGUUGAAACGCCUUCGUGAUUGGGAUUGUGAAUUGCAAUUAUUUCACAUGAACGAGGAAUUCCUAGUAAGUGCGAGUCAUCAGCUCGUUCUGAAUACGUCCCUGCCCUUUGUAC